UAGCUAGUGGUAAGGUAACGGCUUACCAAGGCAACGAUACGUAGCCGACCUGAGAGGUGAUCGGCCACACUGGAACUGAGACACGGUCCAGAUUCCUACGGGAGGCAGCAGUAGGGAAUCUUCCGCAAUGGACGAAAGUCUGACGGAGCAACGCCGCGUGAGUGAUGAAGGUUUUCGGAUCGUAAAACUCUGUUAUUAGGGAAGAACAAAUGCGUAAGUAACUGUGCGCAUCUUGACGGUACCUAAUCAGAAAGCCACGGCUAACUACGUGCCAGCAGCCGCGGUAAUACGUAGGUGGCAAGCGUUAUCCGGAAUUAUUGGGCGUAAAGCGCGCGUAGGCGGUUUCUUAAGUCUGAUGUGAAAGCCCACGGCUCAACCGUGGAGGGUCAUUGGAAACUGGGAAACUUGAGUACAGAAGAGGAAAGUGGAAUUCCAUGUGUAGCGGUGAAAUGCGCAGAGAUAUGGAGGAACACCAGUGGCGAAGGCGACUUUCUGGUCUGUAACUGACGCUGAUGUGCGAAAGCGUGGGGAUCAAACAGGAUUAGAUACCCUGGUAGUCCACGCCGUAAACGAUGAGUGCUAAGUGUUAGGGGGUUUCCGCCCCUUAGUGCUGCAGCUAACGCAUUAAGCACUCCGCCUGGGGAGUACGACCGCAAGGUUGAAACUCAAAGGAAUUGACGGGGACCCGCACAAGCGGUGGAGCAUGUGGUUUAAUUCGAAGCAACGCGAAGAACCUUACCAAAUCUUGACAUCCUUUGAAAACUCUAGAGAUAGAGCCUUCCCCUUCGGGGGACAAAGUGACAGGUGGUGCAUGGUUGUCGUCAGCUCGUGUCGUGAGAUGUUGGGUUAAGUCCCGCAACGAGCGCAACCCUUAAACUUAGUUGCCAGCAUUUAGUUGGGCACUCUAGGUUGACUGCCGGUGACAAACCGGAGGAAGGUGGGGAUGACGUCAAAUCAUCAUGCCCCUUAUGAUUUGGGCUACACACGUGCUACAAUGGACAAUACAAAGGGCAGCUAAACCGCGAGGUCAUGCAAAUCCCAUAAAGUUGUUCUCAGUUCGGAUUGUAGUCUGCAACUCGACUACAUGAAGCUGGAAUCGCUAGUAAUCGUAGAUCAGCAUGCUACGGUGAAUACGUUCCCGGGUCUUGUACACACCGCCCGUCACACCACGAGAGUUUGUAACACCCGAAGCCGGUGGAGUAACCAUUUAUGGAGCUAGCCGUCGAAGG
rnacentral:rRNA from 1 species